rnacentral:rRNA from 1 species
GAUGAACGCUGGCGGCGUGCCUAAUACAUGCAAGUCGAGCGAACAGACGAGGAGCUUGCUCCUCUGACGUUAGCGGCGGACGGGUGAGUAACACGUGGAUAACCUACCUAUAAGACUGGGAUAACUUCGGGAAACCGGAGCUAAUACCGGAUAAUAUAUUGAACCGCAUGGUUCAAUAGUGAAAGACGGUUUUGCUGUCACUUAUAGAUGGAUCCGCGCCGCAUUAGCUAGUUGGUAAGGUAACGGCUUACCAAGGCAACGAUGCGUAGCCGACCUGAGAGGGUGAUCGCACACACUGGAACUGAGACACGGUCCAGACUCCUACGGGAGGCAGCAGUAGGGAAUCUUCCGCAAUGGGCGAAAGCUUGACGGAGCAACGCCGCGUGAGUGAUGAAGGUCUUCGGAUCGUAAAACUCUGUUAUUAGGGAAGAACAAAUGUGUAAGUAACUAUGCACGUCUUGACGGUACCUAAUCAGAAAGCCACGGCUAACUACGUG